rnacentral:rRNA from 1 species
UACGAAGGGUGCAAGCGUUGCUCGGAAUUACUGGGCGUAAAGCGCGCGUAGGCGGCUUUGCAAGUCGGGUGUGAAAUCCCCAGGCUUAACCUGGGAACUGCAUUCGAGACUGCAUUGCUAGAGUAUGGGAGAGGGAAGUGGAAUUUCCGGUGUAGCGGUGAAAUGCGUAGAUAUCGGGAGGAACAUCAGUGGCGAAGGCGGCCAUCUGGACCAACACUGACACUGAGGCACAAAAGCGUGGGUAGCAAACAGG